CUCCCCCCCCCCCCUUAAAAGAUUUAGAUGCACUAUUGUAAAGUGGUUGUUCCACUGGAUAUCAUAAGGUGAAUGCACCAAUUUGUAAGUCGCUCUGGAUAAGAGCGUCUGCUAAAUGACUUAAAUGAAAUGAAAAAAAUGAAAAACUUGCAAAGCCAAAGGGUCGAGCUCCUCGUUCAGGUUCGGAUGCUUGUUCUGUUUUCUUAUCUAAACACAUAUGGACUCAGUACACAAAUAAAGCAUCUGACCAAUUACACAAGACUUUAGUUCUGGGUUAACCGAGAAUGUCUGAAAUUACAAGGAGUGAUUAAUAAAACUCAAACUCAACCACAAAUACAGUUGUCAAACACAUGAAACCAAUAAGUCAAAUCUUUUACUCAGACAGUUAGUUUGUAGGUUUUGAAAAUGUAAUUGAAGCCAUCUAGUGAUGCAAAACAUCAGCUGUUAAAGACAAAUAGCUACAGACAACAAAAAUAGUGACUGAUAAAUUAUUCUGAAUGUUCCUCUGCAACAUUAGCCACACUUUCCAUAUGAGACUGGUUUCUGCUAUCUGUGGUUUUCCUGUGAACAAGCUCCACGUCUACUUCUCUAUUCAAACAAUCCUCUCUGACACAGUCACCAUCUUCUGUUAAGUCAGACUAACAGUUUGUAGACGUCUGAUAAAUGGCAUUGUUCAUCCCUGAUAUGGCUGGUCAUCUGUUUUUGGUCAUCCUCCUUUUCGUCACCUUCCAACACAUCGAAGCCCAAGGUCAUUAUCCAAAACCAGACAUUACAGUCCAAUUUUAUGAGGACUUCACCAUCAUCUGUUUGAUUCCUGGAUCCGUCAGUCCUGACACCACCUGUAACCUGUAUGUUGGAGAGGAGAGUCAGCCAUCCUUCACAGCAAAGAUCAAGAAGAGAAAAGCCACCUCAGCAGCCGGAGAGCAGUUCUGUCAAUUCACUCCAAAUCAUAGUGAUCUGAUCAGUGGUCUACAGUCAGUGAGGAGUAAGGAGGUGAGCUGUGACUACGGAGUGAGCUCAGGACCAAACUCUCUCUCUCCACGCAGUGAUGGGAAAAGCUUUGCACAUCUGGUGGGAGUUCACAUUAGUGAUCCAACAACUAAACACUUUCCAGCAGGUAGGAUACACAUUAGUUUUGUUUCUUUUUUUAAAUGUACUUUGUUUUCGUCAGCCGGUGAUUGUCAAGCAAAUAACUGUCGGUCUCACGGUAAUUGA
rnacentral:lncRNA from 8 species